rnacentral:rRNA from 1 species
GAGCGCGUAGGCGGGAUAGUCAGUCAGGUGUGAAAUCCUAUGGCUUACCCAUAGAACUGCAUUUGAAACUACUAUUCUAGAGUGUGGGAGAGGUAGGUGGAAUUCUUGGUGUAGGGGUAAAAUCCGUAGAGAUCAAGAGGAAUACUCAUUGCGAAGGCGACCUGCUGGAACAUUACUGACGCUGAUUGCGCGAAAGCGUGGGGAGCAAACAGGAUUAGAUACCCUGGUAGUCCACGCCCUAAACGAUGGAUGCUAGUUGUUGGAGGGCUUAGUCUCUCCAGUAAUGCAGCUAACGCAUUAAGCAUCCCGCCUGGGGAGUACGGUCGCAAGAUUAAAACUCAAAGGAAUAGACGGGGACCCGCACAAGCGGUGGAGCAUGUGGUUUAAUUCGAAGAUACACGAAGAACCUUACCUAGGCUUGACAUUGAGAGAAUCCGCUAGAAAUAGUGGAGUGUCUAGCUUGCUAGACCUUAAAAACAGGUGCUGCACGGCUGUCGUCAGCUCGUGUCGUGAGAUGUUGGGUUAAGUCCCGCAACGAGCGCAACCCCCUUUCUUAGUUGCUAACAGGUUAUGCUGAGAACUCUAAGGAUACUGCCUCCGUAAGGAGGAGGAAGGUGGGGACGACGUCAAGUCAUCAUGGCCCUUACGCCUAGGGCUACACACGUGCUACAAUGGGGUGCACAAAGAGAAGCAAUACUGCGAAGUGGAGCCAAUCUUCAAAACACCUCUCAGUUCGGAUUGUAGGCUGCAACUC